AAGAGCAGCCAUCAGAGGAAUAUCCCAGCCCAGUGGGUUCAAAUCCACCUUCUACCAGGCGUAAAAAGGGGGAGGAAGAAACAUCCCCUGGGGCUGGGAAACUGUCAGGGACAGUGACAUCACAGGGAAAACCACCAACCAAGGCCUAGGAGACCAGAGGGGGUGGAGUUGGGGGGCAGGGCUGCCUUGGAGCAUCUAAGGGGAGGUAGGGCUCCCUGCUCCCUCUUGUGGGGGUGCUCCUGAGUCUGUAGGUGCUGCCAAGACUGUGACAUCACAGGGUCUCCUUCCUUCGGCUACUAAGGACCAGAUGCCCCACUGGGAGAGGCCUCAGCCUGGCCCGGACCCUGCCAUGCACAGCAGGCUCUUCUGCUGGGUGAUCUUUGGUCUCCUGGGAGUAGGACACACAGAACUUGGAGUCAGCCAGAGCCCUCACCACUAUGUCACAGCGCUGGGACAGAACGUGACUCUGAGGUGUGACCCCAUUCCUGGUCAUUUGUACCUCUCUUGGUAUCGACAGACCCCAGGAAAGGGGAUGGAGUUUCUGAUUUCCUUCUAUAACAAAGCGCCUUCAGAGAAGGCAGACUUUUUGAAGGAUCGCUUCUCAGCUGAGAUGCCUAAUGGCUUGCACCUCACUCUGAAGAUCCAGCCUGUGCAGCCGGGUGACUCAGCCAUGAUCCUCUGUGCCAGCAGUGUAACCACAGCCCUGCAGAGACACUUCCUGCCCUUCCACAAACUCUGCAGCUUCUCUGCACUCCCCAGGCUCUCAGCAGCCCGGCCCUGCCCACGGGAGGGUGGGUGCUGGUGCAGGGGCGAGGGGCUGGGCUGGGCUGCAGCUGCUUCCCAGUAG